rnacentral:tRNA from 1 species
GCCGAGAUCGCAUAGCCUGGUAGUGCGCGUGACUGGAAAUCACGUGGGCCCGUUCCCGCGGGAGUUCAAAUCUCCCUCUCGGCG